rnacentral:misc_RNA from 1 species
AAGUCGUAACAAGGUUUCCGUAGGUGAACCUGCGGAAGGAUCAUUAAUAGAUUCUUUACUGAAUUCUUACCCCGUGUGAACUGUUACCAUUGCCUUGGCAUCAGUGAUGGCACCCUUCGGAUAGCAGGCUUGCCUGUUGUCCUGGGGUUGUCCUCUAGGCGUCAUCUUUUUUACCAACUUGACUAUAUGACCGAGUAUACCACAAAGGACUAGAAAACUUUUAGCAACGGAUCUCUAGGCUCUU